UGAAACAAGGUAUGAACAACUAAGAGAGGAAAAAUAGGAAAACGCAACGCAAGAGCAUGCUAUUGAGCUAGUCCUUUUCCCUUGGUGGUCAAGAGUUGCCAUGGGCAACUCCAUGACCCUUCCAGGUCUGUGUGUGCAACAUGAUGGCUAACCAGAAUGCUGCAGGAGCACCAUGACAGCUGAAGCAGGGUGCUGUCAGGUCAUACCUGGAUGCAGCUGGUUCCCAUGGCAAUGGCUGUUAUGAAAAGGUGAGACAAGAGGAUAUGAGACAGGGCACAAGAAGAAUCCGGUGCAGUCCACUGCUUGUAUUGGUCAAUUCCAGGUGCACCACACUUCAAGUCCAAGCUGCCACAGAGCCUUUAAGAUGAUGACUGGCCCCAAGCUGUAAAAUAACAAUGCACAAAGGUGCUACAUACUGCAAAGCAAAGUAUCUACAACAACUGCAAUAGUCCACUCUGAUCAUUCUUCAACCUAAAGAUUUGCAACUCUCAUCAAAGCUCAACUGGUUGAAAGAUCCUGCCUCCUCACAGCAGUGCCUGAUGGACAGUAUGAAUUGAAAUACUAAAGGCACUUCUUCUUUCAGGAUAACUGAUUAAAUGAUCUGGCUGGUAAAGCAGGUCAUCACUUAAUUGUUGUGGCUUUGGCAAGAUGCCACCAAAGCAGGCCAUCAUGGUCAGCAGAGAUGUAAAGGCCCCCCAUAUUACAGAACACCCUUUGAUAUGCAGACUAAUUAACAGAAGACCUAAGCCAUUCAAGGGACUUCUAUACCAUAGGAUGUUAGGAGACGUCAAGAACACAAAUGAAACUAAGAUUUUCAUACAGGGUUCAGGUUUUGUUACUUCAGAUCUAUAAUCUAAAGUUCCGUAAUCAUCACAUCACUCCAAGAACAAAAUUUGAUAGGCAAAAUUCUCCAAACUCAUUUCAUGGAGAACCUUGAGGGUCCAGAAUAGGGCUUGAUGGCAAGCAGGAGCUCCCUGUCCCCUGUCUUCACCCAUGCAACCCCUAGCUCACUCAUUGUUUUCACUCUAAAUUUGUGAAGUAUAACAAUCUUUAAAUCUUAAAUAUUAAGACUUAAUCUUUAAAUAUUAAGAGAUUUGGGUUUCUGUAUCAACAAUCUUUAAAUAUUAAGAGAUUUGGGUUUCUGUAUCAACAAUCUUUAAAUAUUAAGAGAUUUUCCAAAGAUUAAUGACUUUCCUAGAGCUGGCCUACAAAUUCACCACCUCAACUGGAUGACUUUGGAAUAAAUUUCUAACUAACACCGCAAGUGAAUUAAAUAUUUUCUUCCUUUUUUAUGUAAUCUAAUACAUUUUUAAAACUUUAUAGGAUGUCCAGACACUUGUAGUUUAUCAUUCUAUGAUUCAAAAGAAUUUGGUAUAAUUGCAUUGAUAAGUUUACUGCCUUGGGCACUAAAGUAACCUAGAAUAUGGGAGAAAUAGCUUUUGGUGACAUGCAUCUAUUUAUAUCUUCAGCGUUUACUAAUUAAUUAAUUUGUUUAACAAAUACACAUUCAAUACCAUUAUAUGUUUGGCAUUGUCAUAGAUGUUAGAAAAUCAAAUAUAAAAAAGACAUAAUUUCUUCACAACACAUGGAAAUAAGAGUAUCUCUAGGAAUUGUCUCUAGUUGAAAUUGUUUUCUCCUACCCACCUCUAUGAUUCAUCAAUUUAGCUUUCCUUCACUGUAGUGACAGGUGUUUUAAUCUCACCUAACAAUAUGCCUGAUUAAGCUUCAACAUACACAGAGAGAGGCCUGAAACUCAUAGCUUAGCUAACAAAUAGAUAUACCUCAACCUUUGGUCUCUAUGUCUAAGUUUAUGUUGUUAGUAAUAGUUAUAAGAGCCACAGCGAUGGCACCAUGGUGUUACCUUCUCUGAAGGCUUUCCCAGCUUUCCUAGCAAAGCUCUUUUCUCUUCCCUCUGGUUAAAAAAUAAAUUUAAAAAAAUAAAGGUUUUUCCUUUAUUGUUAUUCUUAUGUGUCUGAUUUUAUCACAUUUAUUGUUUUGUUUUCUGAUUGUAUAAGUCAUACAUGCUCAUUUAGAAAACUUGGAAACUAUGGAAAAAGAGAAAUAAAAAAUAAAGUCCACUCUAA